GACGAACGCUGGCGGCGUGCUUAACACAUGCAAGUCGAACGGUGACCCAGGGCUUGCCCUGGUGAUCAGUGGCGAACGGUGAGUAACACGUGGGCAACCUGCCCCCUGACUUCGGGAUAACUCCUCGAAAGAGGAGCUAAUACCGGAUACGACCACUUCGGACAUCCGAUGGUGGUGGAAAGUUUUUCGGUCAGGGAUGGGCCCGCGGCCUAUCAGCUAGUUGGUGGGGUAAUGGCCUACCAAGGCGACGACGGUAGGCCGGCCGUGAGAGGGCGACCGGCCACACUGGGACUGAGACACGGGCCCAGACUCCUACGGGAGGCAGCAGUGGGGAAUAUUGCGCAAUGGGCGAAAGCCUGACGCAGCGACGCCGCGUGAGGGAUGAAGGCC
rnacentral:rRNA from 1 species